UACGGGGGGAGCAAGCGUUGUUCGGAUUUACUGGGCGUAAAGGGCGCGUAGGCGGUCAGCACAAGUCAGUUGUGAAAUCUCCGGGCUUAACUCGGAAAGGUCAACUGAUACUGUGCGACUAGAGUGCGAAAGGGGCAACUGGAAUUCUCGGUGUAGCGGUGAAAUGCGUAGAUAUCGAGAGGAACACCUGCGGCGAAGGCGGGUUGCUGGGCCGACACUGACGCUGAUGCGCGAAAGCCAGGGGAGCGAACGGG
rnacentral:rRNA from 1 species